rnacentral:pre_miRNA from 1 species
AAAAUACUCCCUCUGUCUUAAAAUUCUUGUCUUAGAUUUAUCUAAAUACAGAUGUAUCUAGUCAUGUUUUAGUGUCAGAUACAUCCAUACUUAAAUAAAUUUAAGAUAAGAAUUUUGGGACGGAGCUAAUAGUGC